GUGGUAAUGCCGGAUGCUCCAUCACACUGCAUGGUGUGUUGGGAAAGCCUUUGCGGCAUGGGAUGGGGUCGCGUCCUAUCAGCUUGAUGGCGGGGUAACGGCCCACCAUGGCUUCGACGGGUAGCCGGCCUGAGAGGGCGACCGGCCACAUUGGGACUGAGAUACGGCCCAGACUCCUACGGGAGGCAGCAGUGGGGAAUAUUGCACAAUGGGCGCAAGCCUGAUGCAGCGACGCCGCGUGAGGGAUGGAGGCCUUCGGGUUGUAAACCUCUUUUGUUAGGGAGCAAGGCAUUUUGUGUUGAGUGUACCUUUCGAAUAAGCACCGGCUAACUACGUGCCAGCAGCCGCGGUAAUACGUAGGGUGCAAGCGUUAUCCGGAAUUAUUGGGCGUAAAGGGCUCGUAGGCGGUUCGUCGCGUCCGGUGUGAAAGUCCAUCGCUUAACGGUGGAUCCGCGCCGGGUACGGGCGGGCUUGAGUGCGGUAGGGGAGACUGGAAUUCCCGGUGUAACGGUGGAAUGUGUAGAUAUCGGAAAAGAACACCA
rnacentral:rRNA from 1 species